GGCCCAGGCGUAGCAAUCGCACCAUGGCAUUCCUUUCAGUCCCUGCACCUCCUCCGCUUUGGCCUCCGGGCACAGAAGCUGCCUCCGCUCCUGCCUCUCCUGUGUGGCUGCGCCUCCCAUUCCUCUCGUCCCUACACGGCUGUGCCUCCUCCGCUCCUCGCCUCUCUCCUCUCCGGGGCGUAGCAGGCGCCAGCCGCUUCCUCCCCAAAUCCCAAACCCUAAAUAAAUCCCCUCAUCUGAGCAAUCCGCACCAGUGCACCAGAAUCCAUCUGCUGAAUCCAACCAUCACCGUCAUUCCUGGGGCUGGAGGGGUGAGGCGGUCCUCUAGAUGGGAAGGCGGCCAACGCUUCUAAUUCCAUAGUGGACUCGACUCGGUCGGUGGCGCAGUGCUAGAUCUACGGCUCUGCUGGUGGCGGGCCGCCAUUCCCAACCCUCCAUUGGAUUAGGUACUUCCUCCGCAAGCUAAAGAAGGUGAAGAAGAGCAACCGCCAGAUCCUUGACAUUUGCCAUCAACGAGAUUUAGGAUGGCUACUACUACUACAACUGCGAGUGUAUGUGCAAGCAUUGGAGCGUCUCCUGCUACUGCUGCUACAACUGUUGGCACGGGUCAAUCAGUGCCAAAGCCACCACAACUAGAUGAUAGUGCUUUGGUGGUGAAGGAGACAACCACAAUCACUGAAGGAGGUGCAGAACCUAUUGUUAUUGUUGAUGAAGAAAUUGCUAAUGAUGGGACUUGCAUUGCAGAAGUAGAGUCUGCUACAAAGAAAUAGAAAAAGAGUUCCUCUAAGGUUUGGGACUACUUCACCAAGUCCACAAAGACACAUGAGAGAGAUGAUGGUGUGAUAGAGAAUCAAAUUUGGGCGAAGUGCAAUAAGUGUAUUUUCAAAACUCGCAUGAAUCCACUAAGGACACGGUGUCCCUUUGGAAUCAUUUGCAAUCGAAGCACUUCAUAAAGCAAGGACAUCAACUACUUCAAACGGGUGAAGGAGAACGAGAUGACCGAGGACUAUGAGGAGGACGAGAGCGACUAAAUUUUAUUAAGAUGAAGAACAGGUCUGCUUUCUCCUCUGUCUGACAAUUUUGAUUAGAUUUCAAUAUUUAAAUCUUGGCACUUUCUAUGGUUGUCAUGAAUCUUUGAUCUUGUGCACGGGAUUGUUAAAAAAAUGUGUCCUCAUUGGUAAUGGAUUUCAGCAACCUGGCGGUGAUGGAAUAUUGAAAUGAGUGUAUGUUUUGAUUUUAGUUAGCUCUGAUGGGGUUGUCUGGUUGUGUCAAACUGUCAACUACAAGUCUGCAACUCUGCAAGUGCGAGUGCUUUCUAUUUACUGAUAUCACUGUAUGGCAUGGGGUUGAU